AUUGAACGCUGGCGGCAUGCUUUACACAUGCAAGUCGAACGGCAGCGCGGGCUUCGGCCUGGCGGCGAGUGGCGAACGGGUGGGUAAUACAUCGGAACGUGCCCAGUAGUGGGGGAUAGCUCGGCGAAAGCCGGAUUAAUACCGCAUACGACCUGAGGGUGAAAGCGGGGGAUCUUCGGACCUCGCGCUAUUGGGGCGGCCGAUGGCAGAUUAGCUAGUUGGUGGGGUAAAGGCCUACCAAGGCGACGAUCUGUAGCUGGUCUGAGAGGACGACCAGCCACACUGGGACUGAGACACGGCCCAGACUCCUACGGGAGGCAGCAGUGGGGAAUUUUGGACAAUGGGCGAAAGCCUGAUCCAGCAAUGCCGCGUGUGUGAUGAAGGCCUUCGGGUUGUAAAGCACUUUUGGCGGGAACGAAAAGGACUGUGCCAAUACCACGGUUCGAUGACGGUACCCGCAGAAUAAGCACCGGCUAACUACGUG
rnacentral:rRNA from 1 species